rnacentral:rRNA from 1 species
UACAGAGGUGGCAAGCGUUGUUCGGAAUUACUGGGCGUAAAGGGCGCGUAGGCGGCCUUCUAAGUCAGACGUGAAAUCCCCCGGCUUAACCUGGGAACUGCGUCUGAUACUGGGAGGCUAGAGUAUGGGAGAGGGAUGUAGAAUUCCAGGUGUAGCGGUGAAAUGCGUAGAUAUCUGGAGGAAUACCGGUGGCGAAGGCGACUUACUGGACACAUAUUGACGCUGAGGUGCGAAAGCGUGGGGAGCAAACAGG